rnacentral:misc_RNA from 1 species
GUGAAUCAUCAAAUUUUUGAACGCAAAUUGCACUCUCCGGUUUUCCGGGAGAGUAUGCCUGUUUGAGGGUCUGUUUAAAAAAUAAUCGAGGCUGCUGCUGUAGUGGCGCUUCGGAAUUGGGUAUUCUUCCACUUUUCGGGUUUGUAACCGCCCUAAAUUUUUCCUUACGUUUUCUACAAAGGUGUCUAAGAAUUCCUUGUACGUUCG